UGAGAUGAUACUUCUUGCUGUGGUACAUGGGCACACCACCAGGGAAGGUGGUGUGGUCCGUGUCCACGUAAGAAACUACUCUGAACAUCAAAGAGAUGUAGCUUCUACUUCUGGGUCUGCCAUUGGCUCACUGGAUGAUUUUAGGGUAGGAUGGAAGCAGGCAGGGCAGAAAAAUGAAAACUCACAUUGUCUCAGACUUCCAGCUGAGGAAGACUUAAGAAUCUUCUGGGGGUUUUUUGCACACCUAUAGAACUGAACUUGGCAGAGCAGCUUGAAGUUGAACUAAAUGUUACUCCCACGUCAAAGCACUAUUGGGAAUAAACCUUAGUCUGGGUGGUUAGUUUGCCAAUUACAAACCACAACA